UACGAAGGGGGCUAGCGUUGUUCGGAAUUACUGGGCGUAAAGCGCAUGUAGGCGGAUAUGCAAGCAAGAGGUGAAAUCCCAAGGCUUAACCUUGGAACUGCCUUUUGAACUGUAUAUCUGGAGUUUUGGAGGGGAGUGCGGAAUUUCUAAUGUAGAGGUGAAAUUCGUAGAUAUUAGAAGGAACACCGGCGGCGAAGGCGGCACUCUGGACAAAUACUGACGCUGAGAUGCGAAAGCGUGGGGAGCAAACAGG
rnacentral:rRNA from 1 species